rfam:Firmicutes bacterium CAG:56 genomic scaffold, scf213
AGUAGAGUAGAUAUCGUACGUAAAGUGUCGUUGGAGGGGGAGGCUUCCGACGAACGAAGGUUAUACCGCGUUACGGUCUCGCUUCCGCUACU